rnacentral:lncRNA from 1 species
ACAUGCCUGCCAAUUAAUAUGUGGCCUUCCAGAAAUUUUGACCAUCACAAGCACAAUACGCAGGAAAUGCAGAGGUGCAGCAAUGCGUUGCUGUGACAGCAAGGUUCUGGAUAUGGAGAAAGUUGGCCAGCAUCUGCCCUUUUCCUCCAGGCACUGCUUUCUCCUGGAGGGCCCCAACUUGUUGUCCAUCCUUCCUAUUUCACUGAACUGUCAGGACUCACAAGGUACG